rnacentral:lncRNA from 1 species
CCGCGGCACGUCACGUGUGUCCUGCGCCUCCCGCGGCACGUGCUGCGCUCAGGGCGCAGGCCAUGUGGCAGACCCGCGCGUGGUGGCCGGCUGGGUUGCAGAGGCAGCGGCCCGUCUGCGCGCCCUGCUCGCUAGCAAGGUGGCCCAGCGCCUCAUGGAGCCGGCACAUGCUUCGGGCACCUGGUAGGCUGGGUCACCUGGGACUUGAGCGCCCGGCGUGGCAUCCGCUAAUUGUCCGCCUGGCUCGAGUUUCAGAAGUACCGCGUUCUGUGAGCUUAGUGCAAACGUGGAUGCCUGGAUUAUUGGCCCCACUGACUGCUCCAGCAACAGGGAGCCGCCACCACCGUGUACUGUGCCGUCGCCCCGGAGCUGGAGGGCCUGGGGGGGAUGUACUUCAACAGCUGCUGCCGCUGCCUGCCGUCAGCCGAAGCCCAGAGUGA